CCCAGCCCAGUCAGAAGUUUGCCAAGAUAACCUCAUUGCAUCAUGUGCCAAAGAGCCUCAAACAGCUGGAGCAUUGAAGGACUGUGACAUUUAAACAAGAUACUGAAAAUGCAAGGCAACAUCUAGGUUCAAGGAACAGAUUAAAUACCUGGGACACUGACUUUUUUCAGUGGUGGCUUCUGGUGAGAAGCAAGGACAGUGUGGAGCCUGAAGUCAAGCAGAGGACUGUAAUUCCUCUCUCCAUUAACUAGAUGUGACACUUCAGCAACUUUUUCCUGACAUACAUCUGUUUUUCUGGAGCCCCUUAUCCUGAGGGAUCUACUGGACCUCCAGAUGCCCUUCAAGUAUUAGAUACCCACUGUGUGAUUUUCAAGCUUCUCCUAAGAAAAAAAUGGAUGCUCUCCUGAGAACAUCCAAUCUUCUGCACAACCACCCAGCAUAUGUGGAAGCAGCAUGAACUAAAAUCUCUUCAGAACUGGCUCAACAUUUGCAAUUCUUCAUGCUGCCAAGUUCAUGGAAAAUUACUGGUACUUGGUAGUUCUGACUUACUGCGUGGUACUGCUGUCCUUCUCACUUUGGAACUCCCAGCUCACUUUGUCUUCCUGAAAGCAGGCUUGGCUGUUCUGCCUCUCACAGACCAGCAUAGAUCUGUUUUCUCUGAGCCACUGUGAAACAUGCUGCUUCACUUCAUACACACUUCCAGAAAUAAAGGCAGGCGAAUCCUGAUGUGAUGUUCUGAUAGAGCAUAUGCACUCAAUUCAUCCUACUUCCUAAAUCAAAAACUUGCAGGAUUUUUUUGGCUAUACAAAGGGAAGAGUAUAGUUGGUGGAUUGACUAGACGACAGCCAGUUAGGGAGGCAAAGACUGACAAAAAAGAAAUGCACUCUCAGAUUUUUCUUUAAAUCUGCAGUACAAAGGGAACUGGAAGACAGUUUCAGCGGAAGAGAUGAAGACAGACAAAUGGCUUUAAACUCAGUAGAACAGUAGGCAAGGUAAAAGGUUAAUUAUUCCUUUGAUGGAAGUUAGAGUCCCUGAAUUAUUGGGAGCAACUUCAUCUCCUCCCUAGAAGCAAUUCCUGGAUUUAGUAAUUUCUGCUCCCCCUGGCUUCAGUUAUGACACUGCUCCAUGCUCACUGCUUGGCUUCCCACCAGCCCCAGGCUUCCCAAAGUGGAAGGAAGUAAUUUCUGCUGCAAACGUCCAUAGGAAAUUAAGAGUUUGGCAUGGCAUUUUAGUUUACAAGAAGUCUGAAUAAGAGAAGCAACACAUCUCUACAACCGCAGGACAUCACAGCCUGGAGCAUGGUGUCAGAACAAGACCAAGAGAUGGGAAGGUGGAAGAGGUUAUAUUCCCUCACAGAGACAGAUUUAGGAAACAGGAGGUAGCUGCACGCCUAUUUCUUAUAGUGAGUAAUUAACACAGAUCACAAGAAAAGACAGCAGCAAUGGGCAGCAGAGCUUGCUGGAGUUUUUGACACUUGUUUUGUCAAUGAGCUGUGGCUUUAACAGCAUUUCCAAACAAACCAUGCUGGACAGCAUAUGGCAUACCCCAGGUGUUUGUGUACCUGUAGGAACUUUUCUCCUAAUUUCAAAAGUCAUGGAAGUUACAAGGUAUCCUUUUCCACCUUGUUUCUAGAAGGCAUAGUUCCUGGUAAGAGGGCACACUUUGGAGAUAAGCAGGAUAACUCCAAACAUAUUACAACUAGCCUUUCAAAAUCACAAGGAUAUGAACUACUGGGGACAGUGGAGAAACUGCUGGGAGAUUUCUACAAGAAAAGACUUCAUUAGGAUUGAACUGAAAAAAAAUCCAACACAGCCACUGGGGUCAGCCAUGGUGCUGCUUUUGAGGUGACUGAUAAGAAAAAUGCUGACAAUCUUAGAGCUAAACCUUUCUCUUGAGUGCCCCUGCAUAAAGGAUGUGAAGUUUCAUAAUAAGGUAGUGAUAAUUCUUGUUUUUAUUAUGAGCUUUGCAAUAUUUGAUAUUUGUUUAUAGACCAGCUCCCAGAAUCAAAGGAUUAGGUGAAAGUCUGUUUUAAUUAAGAAACAAAGGUUUUCUUCAGAUUUUUCUGCCCACUUUGUGAGAUGUUGGGAGGAAGAAUAUCACUUUUCUUUCAUGGUAAUCAUGAGAUGCUCUGUGCUGACUUAUUCAGACAUGCUACUCAGUUUUAUGCUAGGUAACAUUUUGAUGAUUAUCUUUACACUUUGGAGAUGUAAUGCUGCAUUGUCUUACUAAAUAAAAGAUUAAAU